UACGGAGGGGGCGAGCGUUACCCGGAGUUACUGGGCGUAAAGGGCGUGUAGGCGGUCUCUUAAGUCUGAUGCUAAAGACCGAGGCUCAACCUCGGGAGUGCGUUGGAUACUGUGAGUCUAGACGGUCGGAGAGGGCAGUGGAAUUCUAGGAGUAGCGGUGAAAUGCGCAGAUACCGAGAGGAACGCCAAUAGCGAAGGCGGCUGCCUGGACGAUGUGUGACGCUGAGGCGCGAAAGCGUGGGGAGCAAACGGG
rnacentral:rRNA from 1 species